AACGAACGCUGGCGGCAUGCCUAACACAUGCAAGUCGAACGAGACCUUCGGGUCUAGUGGCGCACGGGUGCGUAACGCGUGGGAACCUGCCCUUAGGUUCGGAAUAACUCCCCGAAAGGGGUGCUAAUACCGGAUAAUGUCUUCGGACCAAAGAUUUAUCGCCUUUGGAUGGGCCCGCGUUGGAUUAGCGAGUUGGUAGGGUAAAAGCCUACCAAGGCGACGAUCCAUAGCUGGUCUGAGAGGAUGAUCAGCCACACUGGGACUGAGACACGGCCCAGACUCCUACGGGAGGCAGGAGUGGGGAAUAUUGGACAAUGGGCGAAAGCCUGAUCCAGCAAUGCCGGGUGAGUGAUGAAGGCCUUAGGGUUGUAAAGCUCUUUUACCCGGGAUGAUAAUGACAGUACCGGGAGAAUAAGCACCGGCUAACUCCGUG
rnacentral:rRNA from 1 species